rnacentral:lncRNA from 1 species
GGUGUACCCUUGGGUCGUGACAAAAAUGGUCUAACUUCUUUGCAAAAUUAUUCUUUCUCAAACCAACAAACGAGUUAAGCAACAAUAUGAACUUAAUUUAAAGGGCAUUAUUCUAAGCCAAAUUAAUAUACCAAACCCAAUAUCUAAAUGAGGGGAAGGUGAGUGACUAUGUCUUGCUAACAUUCUUAGUUCGUUAGUUUGCAUAAAUUCAAAUAUAAAUUGAAACAAACACAAAUAUAAGUGCAAAAAAAUGUACAAAUCGUUAGUCAACGAUAACAACAUAUAUGUAUGCAUAAAAAUGUAAAGUUUUGAGAUAAGGAGGAAGUGCGAGAUUUUCUUUUGGGAGGAGAAAGUCAUUCUAGACGAGCUAAAAUGCAUAUAUUGGUCGCUUCUCUAAUUUGGAUAGAGAUGGAGUCAUAUCGCAACUCCAAACGCGCUCCCCUCCCCAGUGUACAUGUAUAACAGAGAAAGGAAAAAGAGAUUAGUAAGACGAUUUAACUUUAGAUGAUAUUUAAUAUAUAAAUAAACCAAGCAAAAUCAUACAAUAAAUAUACCACUCUGGAACAAGAAGAUGGAAACGUCGGACAAGACACAUUUUUUGCAGCAGGCGACCAACUAAAUAUAACCAAAUCACAUAUAUUUUGAGCACAUGCCAACAUGAAUAACCAAGUCACAGUACUUCAAAUUUACACAUGCCACACACACGCACGCGCGCGCACAUAUAUAUAUAUAUAUACUAAUAGAAUUAAUAAAGAAAUUUUAAAACUCAUAUUUUUAUGGGUAUAGGAAAGAAGAGGCAAGCUGCAUUUGAGACAUUUGCACAAUCAAAAAUUACAUUCUUCACAAAACAACAUAUGCGCGCGCGCACAUAUAUAUAUAUAUACUAAUAGAAUUAAUAAAGAAAUUUUAAAACUCAUAUUUUUAUGGGUAUAGGAAAGAAGAGGCAAGCUGCAUUUGAGACAUUUGCACAAUCAAAAAUUACAUUCUUCACAAAACAACAUAUGCGCGCGCGCACAUAUAUAUAUAUAUACUAAUAGAAUUAAUAAAGAAUUUUUAAAACUCAUAUUUUUUAUGGGGUAUAGGAAAGAAGAGGCAAGCUGCAUUUGAGACAUUUGCACAAUCAAAAAUUACAUUCUUCACAAAACAACAUGAUCUGCUCAUCAUUUAAAAAAAAAAAACUAAAACACAACAAAACUAUAUCUUUUAAAACAAGUUUUCUGUAUUGAAAAACAUGAACUGAAAACUCUUAUCACAUGAUCAUCUAUCUGGAGUAAAAGAAACAAAACUAAUUCAUGUAAUCAUGAAAAGAAAACAGUUUUGAAGCUCAACGUCUAAAACACGAAAAUUAAAAUAAAUUCAAUCUUUGUACAGAUCUCAAAACAGGGUUCAAAUACAUUCUUUAACCUUGGUUUUUACCUUGGCUAUAGAUAUAAGGUCUAUUGAAUAUAUAUCUAAGAGGGAGGGAUUAACUUCCAUAAUCAUAGCUUAAUACAAAACAGAACAAUGAUCAUGGAUCAUAGACUAUAUACUGUCCAAAAUUCACAACAUAAAAGAAAGCUAACAACAUGAACAAACAUCCCGUAAAACGAAGAUCCUAAAAAAUGUGAUUUCUAAUGAUAAAAUAAAGAGAUUCGAGUCAGAUUUUCACCUGUUUCGGGGCAAUGAACUGAAGCUCUUUUGACCUCGGAUAUACCCCUAAAGUUGGACUAAUUCGGACUCGACCACGCACAAGAAUCCAAGGACAAUGAAAAAUAAUAAAAAGUUGGAUAUUUCCAAGAGUAAAAGAGAUGUUUUAGGCAGUUUUUGGUUGUGUGUUUUGUGAUUGACAGGAAACAUGUCUUAAAACGAAUGCCUAAGCUUGAUAUUUAUAGAGACCAAUUAAGGGUUCAAGGAGAAUCCUUUAGGCGGGAUUUUGAUUUUUAAAUUGAGUGACAAGACUCCUUGAACUUCGGACAAUACACCAUGGCAGAAAACUUUGCAGAAGCAAUUGAUUUUUAUGACCAAAAUAGUGAGUCUCUACUGAAGCGUAAGGAUUUGAUACAUUUUUUAACAUAGAAGUAGACGAUCUUCUGCAACACGCUAUGGGGAGAAGGAACUUGCUCGAAAAUGGCCGAGCCAAAUAUGGAUUUUGAGGGGCAAAGGCCAAAACUUUGUCAAAAAUUCAGGUUUUUUCGGCUAAAGAGAUAGAUAGAUAGAUAGAGAGAGAGAGAGGCGUCUGAUGACACCAAAUGAAAAAAAAUAAAUUAUUUUAUGAAAUCCAAGGGUAUUUAGGAUAAAAUAGGUAGAUUAAAUGAGGUAUUCAAUGUAUUUG